UGUUUAUACGAUUUACCGAACUAGAAGGUAGGAUGAAUUUGGGUUUCCUAAGAGUUAUUAUAUACAAAUACAUCAGUGCAAUAAUAAUGAAG